GUGUCUGUCACUGUGUGUGACUGUCAGUGUGUGUCUGUGACUGUCAGUGUUGCGAUGGCCGCGGCUGGACAGUGGAGAACCUGGCGGGGCACGCAAUGCCACAUUCUGACGUGACAUUAACGUGCUCCACCUUCACAGGUUUUCAAGGAGUAGCAGGAGGAUCAGUUUGGCACAGGAUGCGGACGGCGCCAUUGGGGGUACACCAGAGGCUGGACUCCGUAGUUGCAUACUGGCAGCGGC